rnacentral:rRNA from 1 species
UACGGAGGGUGCAAGCGUUGUUCGGAAUCACUGGGCGUAAAGCGCGUGUAGGCGGCCUUCUCAGUCUGGUGUGAAAGCCCGGGGCUCACCCCCGGAAGUGCAUUGGAUACUGGAAGGCUGGAGUACCGGAGAGGAGGGUGGAAUUCCUAAUGUAGCGGUGAAAUGCGUAGAUAUCUGGAGGAACACCGGUGGCGAAGGCGGCAUCCUGGACCAACACUGACGCUGAGGAGCGAAAGCCAGGGGAGCAAACGGG